rnacentral:rRNA from 1 species
UGGGGAAUAUUUCACAAUGGGCGAAAGCCUGAUGCAGCGACGCCGCGUGAGGGAUGACGGCCUUCGGGUUGUAAACCUCUUUCAGCAGGGACGAAGCGCAAGUUACGGUACCUGCAGAAUAAGCACCGGCUAACUACGUGCCAGCAGCCGCGGUAAUACGUAGGGUGCAAGCGUUGUCCGGAAUUACUGGACGUAAAGAGUUCGUAGGCGGUUUGUCGCGUCGUUUGUGAAAACCAGCAGCUCAACUGCUGGCUUGCAGGCGAUAUGGGCAGACUUGAGUAGGGCAGGGGAGACUGAAAUUCCUGGUGGAGCGGUGAAAGGCGGAGAGAUCAGGAGAAACACCGGGGGCGAAGGCGGGUCUGUGGGCAGUAACAAACGAAAAGGAACGAAAGCGUGGGUAGCGAACAGG